CCGGUGACAAACCGGAGGAAGGUAGGGGAGUGACGUCAAGUACAUCAUGGCCCUUACGGCCUGGGCUACACACGUGCUACAAUGGUCGGUACAAAGGGUUGCCAAGCCGCGAGGUGGAGCUAAUCCCAUAAAACCGAUCGUAGUCCGGAUCGCAGUCUGCAACUCGACUGCGUGAAGUCGGAAUCGCUAGUAAUCGUGAAUCAGAAUGUCACGGUGAAUACGUUCCCGGGCCUU
rnacentral:rRNA from 1 species